CCAUAUUGUUAUAAAAGAAAGCACUUUUACCUCGAAAACAGUAAGGGACCAAAGAGCUUUGCAUCUUGAGAGGUCGAUUUGGGAAGCUUAAUCCACUGCUGGGAGCUGGCGAUCAACUUAAAACUUGUGCCAUACGCGCGUGAUAGAAACAGAAAACCGUUACCUUGAAGAAGGCAUGGAAUUUAUUUCAUUUUUCAUGUUCAUAGCCUGGAAUGCAUUAUUGACUAACUUCACUUUUGGAAAAGAGCGAGAUCGCACAAUGCUGUUUCCAGAUUACUUCUUCUUUGCUAAAAGACGUUUGAUGAACCAUAAAAUCGAAACUAAAUACGUCAAAGACUUGGAUCACUGUGAGCUUUUCUGCUACAUGAACGACAACUGCGUCAGUGCUAACUUCAAAAAAGAGCCAGAGACUGGAGGAAUCGCUUAUAUCUGUGAACUGAAUAACGCCACUCAUCUUGAAAAU